UACGUAGGGUGCAAGCGUUAAUCGGAAUUACUGGGCGUAAAGCGUGCGCAGGCGGUUUUGUAAGCCAGAUGUGAAAAGCCCCGGGCGUCAACCUGGGAACGUGCGUUUGGUAACUACAAGACUAGAGUGUGUCAGAGGGGGGUGGGAAUUCCGCGUGUAGCAGUGAAAUGCGUAGAGAUGCGGAGGAACACCGAUGGCGAAGGCAGCCCCUCGGGAGUAACACUGACGCUCAUGCACGAAAGCGUGGGGA
rnacentral:rRNA from 1 species